rnacentral:rRNA from 1 species
UAGCCGUAAACGAUACUCGCUAGGUGUCGGCCACGGUGCGACCGUUGUCGGUGCCGUAGGGAAGCCGUGAAGCGAGCCACCUGGGAAGUACGGCCGCAAGGCUGAAACUUAAAGGAAUUGGCGGGGGAGCACAACAACGGGUGGAGCUUGCGGUUUAAUUGGAUUCAACGCCGGAAAUCUUACCGGGACCGACAGCAACAUGAAGGCCAAGCUGAAGACUUUGCCGGAUUAGCUGAGAGGAGGUACAUGGCGUAGUCGUGU